UAGGGAAUAUUAGUAAUGGGCGAAAGCCUGAACUAGCAACGCCGCGUGUGCGAAGAAGGCCUUCGGGUUGUAAAGCACUUUUUGAGAGGAUGAGGAAGGACGGUACUCCAGAAUAAGUCUCGGCUAACUACGUGCCAGCAGCCGCGGUAACACGUAGGAGGCGAACGUUAUCCGGAUUUACUGGGCGUAAAGCGCGUGUAGGUGGUUCUGUAAGUAGGGCGUGAAAGCUCCUGGCUCAACUGGGAGAGGCCGUUCUAAACUGCAGAGCUAGAGGAUGGUAGAGGGAGGUGGAAUUCCAGGUGUAGCGGUGGAAUGCGCAGAUAUCUGGAGGAACACCAGUGACGAAUGCAGCCUCCUGGACCAUUCCUGACACUCAGACGCGAAAGCUAGGGUAGCAAACGG
rnacentral:rRNA from 1 species